GAUGAACGCUGGCGGCGUGCCUAAUACAUGCAAGUCGAGCGAACGGACGAGAAGCUUGCUUCUCUGAUGUUAGCGGCGGACGGGUGAGUAACACGUGGAUAACCUACCUAUAAGACUGGGAUAACUUCGGGAAACCGGAGCUAAUACCGGAUAAUAUUUUGAACCGCAUGGUUCAAAAGUGAAAGACGGUCUUGCUGUCACUUAUAGAUGGAUCCGCGCUGCAUUAGCUAGUUGGUAAGGUAACGGCUUACCAAGGCAACGAUGCAUAGCCGACCUGAGAGGUUGACCCGCCCCCCGGGAGCUGGGACCCGUCCCAGCCUCCUACGGGAGGCAGCGUUAGGGAUUUUUCCGCAAGGGGCGAAAGCCUGACGGAGCAACGCCGGGUGGGUGAAGAAGGUCUUCGGGUCGUAAAACUCUGUUAUUGGGGAAGAAAAAAUGUGUAAGUAACGUGGCCUAUUUGGACGGCACCUAAUAAGAAAGCCCCGGCUACCUCCGU
rnacentral:rRNA from 1 species